CUGGCGGAGGAUGAACGCUGGCGGCGUGCUUAACACAUGCAAGUCGAACGGAGUUGUGAUGUGAGCGAGAGGUAGCUUGCUAUUAAUCAAUCUUUUCACAACUUAGUGGCGGACGGGUGAGUAACGCGUGGGUAACCUGCCCUGUACAGGGGGAUAACAGUUGGAAACGACUGCUAACACCGCAUAACAUCGCGAGAGCGCAUGAUCUUGCGAUCAAAUAUUUAUAGGUACAGGAUGGGCCCGCGUCUGAUUAGCUAGAUGGUGAGGUAACGGCCCACCAUGGCGACGAUCAGUAGCCGUACUGAGAGGUAGAACGGCCACAUUGGGACUGAGACACGGCCCAAACUCCUACGGGAGGCAGCAGUGGGGAAUAUUGGUCAAUGGGGGAAACCCUGAACCAGCGACGCCGCGUGAGUGAAGAAGUAUUUCGGUAUGUAAAGCUCUAUCAGCAGGGACGAUGAUGACGGUACCUGACUAAGAAGCCCCGGCUAACUACGUGCCAGCAGCCGCGGUAAUACGUAGGGGGCAAGCGUUAUCCGGAUUUACUGGGUGUAAAGGGAGUGUAGGUGGUCAUGCAAGUCCGAUGUGAAAACCCGGGGCUUAACCCCGUGACUGCAUUGGAAACUGUGUGACUGGAGUGCAGGAGAGGUAAGUGGAAUUCCUAGUGUAGCGGUGAAAUGCGUAGAUAUUAGGAAGAACACCGGUGGCGAAGGCGGCUUACUGGACUGUAACUGACACUGAGGCUCGAAGGCGUGGGGAGCAAACAGGAUUAGAUACCCUGGUAGUCCACGCCGUAAAC
rnacentral:rRNA from 1 species